rnacentral:rRNA from 1 species
GACGAACGCUGGCGGCGCGCCUAACACAUGCAAGUCGAACGGAGUUACUCUGAAUGAAGUUUUCGGAUGGAUUUUGGAUUAACUUAGUGGCGAACGGGUGAGUAACGCGUGAGUAACCUGCCCUGGAGUGGGGGACAACAGUUGGAAACGACUGCUAAUACCGCAUAAGCCCACAGUGCCGCAUGGCACAGCGGGAAAAGGAUUUAUUCGCUUCAGGAUGGACUCGCGUCCAAUUAGCUAGUUGGUGAGGUAACGGCCCACCAAGGCGACGAUUGGUAGCCGGACUGAGAGGUUGAACGGCCACAUUGGGACUGAGACACGGCCCAGACUCCUACGGGAGGCAGCAGUGGGGAAUAUUGGGCAAUGGGCGAAAGCCUUACCCAGCAAUGCCGCGUGAGUGAAGAAGGUCUUCGGAUUGUAAAGCUCUUUGAUCAGGGACGAACACAAUGACGGUACCUGAAGAACAAG